GAUGAACGCUGGCGGCGUGCCUAAUACAUGCAAGUCGAGCGAACGGACGAGAAGCUUGCUUCUCUGAUGUUAGCGGCGGACGGGUGAGUAACACGUGGAUAACCUACCUAUAAGACUGGGAUAACUUCGGGAAACCGUAGCUAAUACCGGAUAAUAUUUUGAACCGCAUGGUUCAAAAGUGAAAGACGGUCUUGCUGUCACUUAUAGAUGGAUCCGCGCUGCAUUAGCUAGUUGGUAAGGUAACGGCUUACCAAGGCAACGAUGCAUAGCCGACCUGAGAGGGUGAUCGGCCACACUGGAACUGAGACACGGUCCAGACUCCUACGGGAGGCAGCAGUAGGGAAUCUUCCGCAAUGGGCGAAAGCCUGACGGAGCAACGCCGCGUGAGUGAUGAAGGUCCUCGGAUCGUAAAACUCUGUUAUUAGGGAAGAACAUAUGUGUAAGUAACUGUGCACAUCUUGACGGUACCUAAUCAGAAAGACACGGCUAACUACGUG
rnacentral:rRNA from 1 species